AUUCAAACCUUGUUUUUUCUUUUUAAUAUAGAAAGCAGUCAACUAGGGUUUUCUAAAAUUGAAUUAAAAACUAGAAACUUGUUAGCCAACUCUACCUUUUAACUCUGGGGAAAAUUUUUAUAUUUUCAAUAGGCAAAUAUAUUUUCUGCAUUUUACAAGGAAAGUAAAUAAAAUAGAGAUGAAAAUUGGAGAAGAAAAAUGGUAUCUAUUUUUCUCAAAAUAAAUCCAUCCUCAG
rnacentral:misc_RNA from 1 species